GAAAGUAUAGUUCAAUGGUAAAGUGUGUGCCUAGCAUGCACAAGGUCCUGGGUUCAAUUCCCAGCACCUCCA
rnacentral:tRNA from 1 species